CGUUAGCAUAAUUACCCUUCCGUAUGAGCAUACAGGAAUAAGAAUGAGUUUUUAAUUUUUAGAUCUCAGAUUCAAAUCAGGAGAGAAACAGAGAGAUAUUUUGAGGCGAUUUCUUGGAUUCAAUCGUUUGUUCAUCAUAUUUCGAUCUCAGGUUAUCAACCAUGUCUGAGAAGAUUGUGUAUGCUAUCUUGAAUCAUGAUGUGUACAUACUUAUACACUAGUAUGGUCUCUCAUGAUUUUAUGUACUGUCUUGCGGAUAGGGAUGUUGAAUUUGGAUUUUUGAAGGUGCAUGAAUCAUUUGGUCACAGUUAAUGAAGAUUGUUGGACAUGGAUACGAUGCAGAGAUGAUUACCUCUUGAUUAUUCUAUUUAUAAAUGGUGGAUGUCACUAGGGUUGAAGAUUAUCGUAUUUAUGUCUAAGAGACAGGGUAGAAGCUCUUAUGGAUAGGAUCAUUAGUCUCAUAUCCAUAUCUCCAUUUGGAAGAUGAAGAACUCAACGCAAUAAAAUUGUUAGGGAGAAUUAAAGAAUACCUAUGAUGUGCACUGAGUGCUUUACUUACCCCUCCGUUGAUGAUUUACUAUCCUUCUUGCUUACGGCUUUGUGCUUUUUGUUUUCAUGUAGCUUGUUAAAAUGGAUGAUAUAUAUUAUCUUAUUUAUUUGA